GGCAAAGGGCACGGCGGUGGCUACGUCACACGUGUGCGACAGCACCUGCUCCGGACGUCAGGCUCUCUAAGGACGACGUGGUUCUUCCUUGUGAGGUUGAGGCGCCCGAGAGGCGAUCAGAGCUCAGAGCCGAUUCAUUCCUGCUUGACUUUGGGUCGGUGCCUCGUGAGCGAGCUCAUUUCCCGGGGUUGCGGGUCCUUGCCUGGGGACACGCGAGUUGGAGAGCGCGUGCACCGGUCGUUCCCUUCCCGUGCUGCCCGCGUCCGGAUCGUCGGGACCCGGUUGUCUCUAGUAUGUGGAAAGGCUCGGGCUGGGAACUUCGAGGGAGGAGUUACCCCCUCGAGAUCCGGAGGACCAGAGCGGAGAGCAGGGCCACUGAGACCCUACAGGAUAUGACUCCGAGGAUCGCGUGCUGGACACGAGUGGCUACCGAGCCCGGAGAGCUUCGCGCUGCCUCCUCCUGGUCCCUUUCCAGAGGACUCUUUUCAGUCGGGGAUGCUUAUUAAAGCUCUGGCGGGAAAGAGAGAAUCACAAUUAAAGAAAUUAGUCCUACUCUGCAACGUCGGACACUUUAAUAGUAACUGGGGAGCGAUUGCGUUCAGGGAGAUCGAGGACAAGUAUCCUGGCCAGAUCCUGACAUGUUUUCCCGGUAAGAGUUCUCUGCGGAGGCCACCUUUGGAGGACUCUGUAUAUUGAUGGAAGAGGGAACGCCGGAACCUAUCCCAAAAGUAUUGUCAUGGGAAUUAGGUGUGUGUGGGUUCCAGGAAGGGCGAGGACGGACGGCGCACUACCACAGUCCGAUGAAUGUUCUCAUCACCGACCUUUGGAGUUUUUCAGCAUGUUGGAUUUUUAAACAUGUUCAGGUUGGAAAAUUGAGAGUGUAAUGUUAACAGUAAAGUUUAACCUUUUAAGCUGGUGGAGGAAGUUCAGACCACACCUGAACUGGUACCUGAGAUGACAGCACUGAAUCUGAAGACAAAGAAGGAUCAAAUUAGAACUGACUAUUAUUAGUCACUACUUCAGAAAGUCUUUUUACCUUAUUUUGGUAUGUUUAGUUAUUACUAUGAUUUGUAUGACUUUUACAUGUGUUUGAAAAGUAACAGAAGCUAAAGGCCAUUGUACAACUGGGUAACAGUCCCGUUUUCGUUCUCUUGCAUUUGGUUUGCCAUUCUGUAGCUGUGACUCCAGCUUGCUUUAGUUGAGCCUUGUCAUUCUUCACUCUCUGCAAACCAUUCCACGGAUUUGUUUUUCUUCACAAAAUUAGUUUCAUUUUCUUUGUUUGAUUGAUGGUCAUUGGCUACUGAAAUAAAAUAUGCAUUUUAAGGUAAAUUGUAUGUAUUUUUUAAGAUAAAACUUUGUGUAUUUUAAAAUACU
rnacentral:lncRNA from 1 species